UCCUUUGGCGGCGUGGUUAAGACAUGCAAGUCGAACGCUAAUUCUGGUGUAGCAAUAUAUCAGAGUUGGAGUGGCGCAAGGGUGCGUAACACGUGGGUAAUUUGCCCUGAAGUUGGGGAUAACUCGCUGAAAGGCGAGCUAAUACCGGAUGUGGAAUCGAAGUGGCAUCACUUUGCUUCUAAAGCUGGGGAUCGUAAGACCUGGCGCUUCAUGAUAAGCCCGCGGCCUAUCAGCUAGUUGGUGAGGUAACGGCUCACCAAGGCUAAGACGGGUAGCUGGUCUGAGAGGACGACCAGCCACACUGGAACUGAGACACGGUCCAGACACCUACGGGUGGCAGCAGUCGAGAAUUUUUCUCAAUGGGCGCAAGCCUGAAGGAGCGACGCCGCGUGGGGGAUGAAGGGUUUCGAUCCGUAAACCCCUGUCAUUCGUGAACAAUGGUUACCGUUGAAUAUUCGGUGACUUGAUAGUAACGGAAGAGGAAGGGACGGCUAACUCUGUGCCAGCAGCCGCGGUAAUACAGAGGUCCCGAGCGUUGUUCGGAUUCACUGGGCGUAAAGGGUGCGUAGGUGGCUUGGAAAGUUUGAUGUGAAAGCUCAGGGCUUAACCCUGAAAUGGCA
rnacentral:rRNA from 1 species